rnacentral:misc_RNA from 1 species
CAGUGUUCCCUGCCCUCACGGGUAGAAACGCCCACCCUUGUGUAUUAUAUCUUUGUUGCUUCGGCAGGCCGCCUUCGGGCACCGGCUCCGGCUGGAUCGUGCCUGCCAAAGGAAACCCAAACUCUGAAUGUUAGUGUCGUCUGAGUACUAUCUAAUAGUUA